rnacentral:ncRNA from 2 species
CCUCAGGUGGGCGGCGCUGGUUCCUGUCUAUGACAGGCGAAGAGGGAAUGCGCUACCGCUUUGCGACCAAAAUCGCAGCCGAAACGCAGCCGCCCCCGCGACCGUGACCGGAGAGGCCCCGUUGCCACUGGUAUCCAUAUACCGGGAAGGAUCGGGCCAGCCGAGGAACCCCUCGGGCUCCGCAAGCCGGGAGACCUGCCAGCGCAAGAAAUGUACG